GACGAAGGAUGCAAGCGUUAUCCGGAUUCAUUGGGCGUAAAGGGUGCGUAGGUGGCGCUGUAAGUCGGGUGUGAAAUUUCGGAGCUUAACUCCGAAACUGCAUUCGAUACUGCGGUGCUUGAGGACUGGAGAGGAGACUGGAAUUCAUGGUGUAGCAGUGAAAUGCGUAGAGAUCAUGAGGAAGACCAGUGGCGAAGGCGGGUCUCUGGACAGUUCCUGACACUGAGGCACGAAGGCCAGGGGAGCAAACGGG
rnacentral:rRNA from 1 species